rnacentral:rRNA from 1 species
AGUCGAACGGCAGCACGGGAGCUUGCUCCUGGUGGCGAGUGGCGAACGGGUGAGUAAUACAUCGGAACGUACCCAGGAGUGGGGGAUAACGUAGCGAAAGUUACGCUAAUACCGCAUAUUCUGUGAGCAGGAAAGCGGGGGAUCGCAAGACCUCGCGCUCUUGGAGCGGCCGAUGUCGGAUUAGCUAGUUGGUGAGGUAAGAGCUCACCAAGGCGACGAUCCGUAGCAGGUCUGAGAGGAUGAUCUGCCACACUGGGACUGAGACACGGCCCAGACUCCUACGGGAGGCAGCAGUGGGGAAUUUUGGACAAUGGGGGCAACCCUGAUCCAGCCAUGCCGCGUGAGUGAAGAAGGCCUUCGGGUUGUAAAGCUCUUUCGGCGGGGAAGAAAUGGCAACGGCUAAUAUCCGUUGUUGAUGACGGUACCCGCAUAAGAAGCACCGGCUAACUACGUGCCAGCAGCCGCGGUAAUACGUAGGGUGCGAGCGUUAAUCGGAAUUACUGGGCGUAAAGCGUGCGCAGGCGGUUUCGUAAGACAGACGUGAAAUCCCCGGGCUCAACCUGGGAACUGCGUUUGUGACUGCGAGGCUAGAGUACGGCAGAGGGGGGUAGAAUUCCACGUGUAGCAGUGAAAUGCGUA